rnacentral:rRNA from 1 species
UACGGAGGGGGCGAGCGUUGUUCGGAGUUACUGGGCGUAAAGCGCACGUAGGCGGUGCGGUAAGUCAGGGGUUAAAGGCUGCAGCUCAACUGCAGUAAGGCCUUUGAUACUAUCGUGCUAGAGUGUCAGAGAGGAUGGCGGAAUUCACGGUGUAGCGGUGAAAUGCGUAGAUAUCGGGAGGAACACCAGUAGCGAAGGCGGCCAUCUGGCUGAUAACUGACGCUGAGGUGCGAGAGCGUGGGGAGCAAACAGG